rnacentral:rRNA from 1 species
UACGUAGGGCGCAAGCGUUAUCCGGAAUUAUUGGGCGUAAAGAGCUCGUAGGCGGCCUGUCGCGUCGGAUGUGAAAGCCCGGGGCUUAACCCCGGGUCUGCAUUCGAUACGGGCAGACUAGAGUGCGGUAGGGGAGACUGGAAUUCCUGGUGUAGCGGUGGAAUGCGCAGAUAUCAGGAGGAACACCGGUGGCGAAGGCGGGUCUCUGGGCCGUUACUGACGCUGAGGAGCGAAAGCGUGGGGAGCGAACAGG